rnacentral:lncRNA from 10 species
UUACCAUGAAACGAUUUUAUUGGGAUAUUAGACAUUACUGAAUUACUUGUUCUGUGAGGUAUACAGUGAAAUUAACAUGUUAUAAAAUUGUGGUAGCCGGCCCCCAAGAUGGCCUCCAAUGAAUCCUUCACCUCUUGGUAUUCAUACCUUUGUGUAGGUAGGUCUGUGUAACCCAUAGAAUACAGCACAGUGACAGUAGGUCACUUCCGAGGUUAGGUUGUGAAAGACACUGUGGUUUCUGCCUCUCUCUCAGAUCACGUGCUCUGGGGGAAAAGCCAGGUGUCAUUUUGUGAAGACACUCAAGCAGCCUUUAGAUGACUGCAACCACAUAAGAGGCUCCGAACUGGAGCCACUCAGCUAAACCACUCCCAGAUUCCUGACCAUGUAUCAUUUCAUACACAAUGUAUGAAAUGACAAAUGUCUGUUGUUUUAAGCUGUUUGGGGAAUAAUUUGUUACAUAACAAAAUAUAACUAAUACAAUAAUACAUACUGAUUUAACUGAAGUUGUAACUUCAUAACUUAUUUAGGUACUAAAAAUCACAGCAACCCGAUGCAAAGUACUAAAAAAAAAAUCCAUUAAUACCUAUUGAGUACUGUUGAGGGCAUGAGGAAAGCUCUUUCAUACUCCACAUAAAACUUCCAGGCUGGUCUCGAACUCCUGACCUCGUGAUCUGCCCAUUUUUUUUUAUGAGACUAAAAAAGAAAUCAUAGCAAGUAGCUUUUAUAUCCCAGGUUUGGGCCAAAGACUUGUAUUGUGGUUAAGGAAUCUAACUUAGUAGAAGGUGCACGAGCUGACAUCGUGAGUGGCUAAAAUGAGAGAAAAAAAGAGAAAAUCCUAAUCAUACAGAAGCACUGAACUACUGCAGCUGUUCGUUAGUUAUUAAUUUAAUAAAAGCUUCCUCCCUUUAAAUCAUGUGAGUUUAUAACUGGAAAUAGGUCAAUAAAAUUUCUGUCCCACACUGCUGACAAGCGAUGGACGCAAUUAGCUUUAAUCCCACUGGAAGGUACUGCACUCUCUCUGGGACCAGGAUAUGUAGAAAAAAGCAUUUCAAAUAUAUAGGAAUAACCAGAAAUGUAUACAGUAUUCUCAACUUGGGACCGUUACUCUAUAAUAUAAACGAAAGGGGUUUUCUAGUCAAUCUCUGCUGAUCUCCUGUACCAAAGUUCUUCCCUUUAUAAGUCUUGUACUACCUUUUACAAGAGGAAAAAGCUCUAGAGCGAAAACACAGAACACACUAAAAUCCCUUCCUUUCUCUUUACAACUCAAGCCCCGCCUCCAUUUUGUUUCUGUUACUAAUUUUUCUUCUGAAAAAAUACCAAAUUUACACUGAAAGACUAAAAUUCAACUUUGCAGACAACGUUUUAAAAAAUACAAUUCAGUUUGGUGAUGUUGUUUUGCAGUCUUACAAUUUUAGCUACAUUUUAACUGAACCAAUUGUUUUGUUCAAUUUAUGAGUUAAUACUCAGCAAGUUUGUUUUUUACAAAUAGUGUAUUCCAUUCUAAAAAUGGAAGUAGCAGUGGUGAACAAGAAAACAACCCUCUGAGUUUUGUCUAUUUCAGGAGGAAGUACUACUUUCUCCAAUUUUAAUCACAAUUCAUAAAAAAGAAAAACCUAACUAGCUAGAUCUUAAAUAUACAAAUACAUUAACAAUCUAGUAAAGCAACAGAAAAAGGUAAACAAACUAACCAGCCUAUUUUUGUCUGGAGAAACCCCAACAAACUGCUGGAUUCCUUGGCCAUUUGCAUUCAGAAGUACCAAAAACUAAAAUCCUUUUUACUAAAUAAUUUCUUCUACACGAGACUUGUUUCCUCCACACCACCCUAUCCAAAUUGUCAGCAUUAUUCCAGAAUAUAAUCAUUUAGUUUGAGACCACUAAAAAACCCCGCAGUCCAAAAUACCAAUUGUGGUUUUUCUGUAAAGAAAUGGUCAGAAACUACAAAU